rnacentral:tRNA from 1 species
GUUAAGUUAGUUUAAAGCAUAAAAACAUAAAUUUGUGGAAUUUAAGAUAUUAAAUAAUACUUAACA